UUUUUUUUUUUUUUUUUUAAAGAUUUAUUUAUUUAUUUAUGAUAGACAGAGAGAGAGAGAGAGGCAGAGACACAGGCAGAGGGAGAAGCAGGCUCCAUGCCGGGAGCCUGACGUGGGACUUGAUCCCGGGACUCCAGGAUCGCGCCCUGGGCCAAAGGCAGGCGCUAAACCGCUGAGCCACCCAGGGAUCCCCAUCCAUUACUUUUUCAAUUAAUGUGUCUGAUCUUGGUUAUUGUAGCUCCAUAUUAUGUCUAAAAAUACUAAUUUUUAAAAGUUAUUUUUUGUGGAAUUAUUUUUUAAUUAAAGAUUUUAUUCAUGAGAGAGACAGGCACAGGGAGGAGAAGCAAGCUCCAUGCAAGGAACCUAAUGCGGAACCGGAUCCUGGAACUCCAGAAUCAUGCCCUGAGCCAAAGGCAUUACGCUCAACCCCUGAGACACCCACGCCUCCCUCUGUGAAAUGUUUUUUCCUCAAAGUUAUUGUUGAAGAGUUUUUGUUUUACUUCAAACUCCAUCUUCUAUGUUUAGAGACUUUUUAAAGUGGAAAUUGUGAGUUUAUGCUCAUGAUUUUAAGAGUAGGAGAUGAGCUCUGAGGGUUUUUCAACUCUGAACUUCACUGUAGGGGCUGUUUGGGGAACCCCUGGUGCCAGUGACUAUGUUUUUCCUCUUGGGAUAGUCCCAUUUCCUCAAGGAAAUCUUGGCCACAUUCCUAUCUUGAGGGUGUAGGGUGUAUUUAUUGGUUCAAGAUGUCAGGCUGGGGUGUGUGUGUGUUUUGGGAGCUGAUGGACCCGUGUGCUCUUACUACAUGUACUAUGCUGUCAACCCCAGUGGCUUCAGUGCUACCAUCAUAUAAUCCACUUCCAGCUGGCUUGGCCUCGCUGUUUUUUUUUUUUUUUCUUAAGAGUUAUUUAUUUAUUCAUGAGAGACACACAGAGGCAGAGACAUGGGCAGAGAGAGGAGGCUCUAUGCAGGGAGCCUGAUGUGGGGGCUCAAUCAGGACUCUAGGAUCAUGCCCUGGGCUGAAGGUAGAUGCUGAGCCACCCAGGCAUCCCAGCACCGCCGGUCUUAACAUGGUAAUGAGGUGAAGGUUCUUUUCAGAGUAAUGUUGGGGGAGGGGAAAGAAAGGAGAGAAAUUUCUUAUCUAGCCUCUCAUGGUGCUGUUCCUCUUCCAUUUUAGUUUUAGAUCGCUGUCUCCUGACCUCCAUCUCUGCUCUAGACUCCCCUUCUCCAGUCUUUAGGUGUUCUUCAGUUAUAUCUAGACUACCUUGAGUUUGAAUUCAAGCUCCAGCAUUACCAGUUGUGUGACCCUAGGCAGUUUACUUAACCUCUCCAUGUUCUCUCACCUGUCAAAUGGGGAGAAGAGGAUCUAUUUCUUAGCAUAGGAUAUCUCAGAACAUGAGGAUUAAAUUGAGUUAAUAGUGCCUGGCACAUGGUGAAUGCUGUACAUGUAGUAGAUUUCAUCAUCUGUCAUCUUCAGGGCUGGAAUUGGGGGAAGGAUCCCAAUACCUUAUGUUAGAAUCUUGGGGAAGAAAUAGAAAUCCCUGUAAUAAGCCAAGGUUUUUUUUUUUUUUUUUUCCUGAGUCCUAGUCCUUAGUUUUUUGGUACAUUAUGAUGAUUAAUCUAUACAAGGCCCUUCUCAUUUCACUUUCACAUUUUAUUCCCACUCCCAUUUACCCCUCUCCAGUGGCAACCAUUCUAGUGCAUUUAAUGUAUAUUGAUGUUUUAUAUGCAUGUAUUUUUAAUUUACUGAAAUGCUGUGGUAUUCUGUUAAAUGUUUUUGUUGUGAUUUCUCAUCAGCAUCUUUUGAAGACUUCAAGCAUAUAGGCCGUUGUUUCUUAGUAUUUAAUAGCCAGCAUUCCCGUAUUUUGCCUAUCCACUUCAGUUUGGUGUGGAAGCGGUUUCUUUGUGGGUUGUAGUGUAUACCUGGCCGGCUGCCUGGAGCAUGCUAUUUGACCCUAGUUAUAGAACUCUCAUGGCAAUUGGAGGUGGUUGUGCUGGAUAUUAAGGAGAAUGGCAUCCCUUUUCAAGGAGUGUGCCCCACAUGAGGUUAUCAUAGGGUUUUUAAGCAGAGGAAGGCCUAUUUGUAGACCUUGCAGGGUAGUCUGCAUCAACUGGUAUGGGUGGAGAUUCAGAAUGACUUGGACAUUAAAGAUUGUCAGUUUCAUCUGGAUCCACAGAGGAGGUUCCACAGGGUCUUAUUCCGUACCAAUCCGUGCACUUUAAUGUGAGCCUGAAUUCAAC
rnacentral:lncRNA from 1 species